CCCGCUGAACUUAAGCAUAUCAAUAAGCGGAGGAAAAGAAACUAACAAGGAUUCCCCUAGUAACUGCGAGUGAAGCGGGAAAAGCUCAAAUUUAAAAUCUGGCAGUCUCUGGCUGUCCGAGUUGUAAUCUAGAGAAGCAUUAUCCGCGCUGGACCGUGUACAAGUCUCCUGGAAUGGAGCGUCAUAGAGGGUGAGAAUCCCGUCUUUGACACGGACUGCCAGGGCUUUGUGAUGUGCUCUCAAAGAGUCGAGUUGUUUGGGAAUGCAGCUCAAAAUGGGUGGUAAAUUCCAUCUAAAGCUAAAUAUUGGCGAGAGACCGAUAGCGAACAAGUACCGUGAGGGAAAGAUGAAAAGCACUUUGGAAAGAGAGUUAAACAGUACGUGAAAUUGUUGAAAGGGAAACGCUUGGAGUCAGUCGCGUCGGCCGGGAUUCAGUCGUCCCUUCUUCGGACGGAUUACUUCCCGGUGGACGGGUCAACAUCGAUUUCAGACGGCGGAUAAGGGAGCAAGGAAGGUGGCACCUUCACGGGUGUGUUAUAGCCUUGUUUCGCAUACGCCGACCGGGAUCGAGGUCUGCAGCGCGCCACUCAGGCCGGGGGUUCGCCCCACGUUACGCGCUUAGGAUGUUGGCAUAAUGGCUUUAAGCGACCCGUCUUGAAACACGG
rnacentral:rRNA from 1 species